UACGGAGGAUCCAAGCGUUAUCCGGAAUCAUUGGGUUUAAAGGGUCCGUAGGCGGUUUAAUAAGUCAGUGGUGAAAGCCCAUCGCUCAACGGUGGAACGGCCAUUGAUACUGUUAAACUUGAAUUAUUAGGAAGUAACUAGAAUAUGUAGUGUAGCGGUGAAAUGCUUAGAGAUUACAUGGAAUACCAAUUGCGAAGGCAGGUUACUACUAAUGAAUUGACGCUGAUGGACGAAAGCGUGGGUAGCGAACAGG
rnacentral:rRNA from 1 species